rnacentral:tRNA from 1 species
UGUUUUGUAGCUUAGUUGGUUGAAGCGCCGGACUAGCGAUAACGGAGUCGUGGGUUCAAAUCCCACCAAAACAA